GACGAACGCUGGCGGCGUGCUUAACACAUGCAAGCCGAACGGAGAGGCCCCUUCGGGGGUACUCGAGUGGCGAACGGGUGAGUAACACGUGAGUAACCUGCCCUUGACUUCGGGAUAACUUCAGGAAACUGGGGCUAAUACCGGAUAGGAAUCCUUGCUGCAUGGUGGGGGUUGGAAAGCUUCGGCGGAUUUGGAUGGACUCGCGGCUUAUCAGCUUGUUGGUGGGGUAGUGGCUUACCAAGGCUUUGACGGGUAGCCGGCCUGAGAGGGCGACCGGCCACAUUGGGACUGAGAUACGGCCCAGACUCCUACGGGAGGCAGCAGUGGGGAAUAUUGCACAAUGGGCGGAAGCCUGAUGCAGCAACGCCGCGUGCGGGAUGACGGCCUUCGGGUUGUAAACCGCUUUCAGCAGGGGCGAAGCUUGUGGUGACGGUACCUGCAGAAGAAGCACCGGCUAACUACGU
rnacentral:rRNA from 1 species